rnacentral:tRNA from 1 species
GUCCCCAUCGUCUAGCCAGGCCUAGGAUACCGGCCUUUCACGCCGGCGGCGGGGGUUCAAAUCCCCCUGGGGACGCCA